UACGUAGGGGUCGAGCGUUGUCCGGAGUUACUGGGCGUAAAGCGUGUGCAGGCGGCUCAUUGCGCCCGGCGUGAAAGCCCCCGGCUCAACCGGGGAGGGUCGUCGGGGACGGGUGAGCUUGAGGGUAUCAGGGGCUGGUGGAAUUCCCGGUGUAGUGGUGAAAUGCGUAGAUAUCGGGAGGAACACCCGUGGCGAAGGCGGCCAGCUGGGAUACACCUGACGCUGAGACACGAAGGCGUGGGGAGCGAACGGG
rnacentral:rRNA from 1 species